rnacentral:lncRNA from 9 species
AUGACAGCCACGACCCCGUAUCUCUGGGUGCGCUCUCUCUCUCUCACCUCCGUCGGCCACGGCCCACGCCGGACUCGGGCUCUUUACAAGUUAAUUCGAAACCCGCGACAAACCCAGAUCGGACCAGCCCUGGCCUGUGGUCUGCCCGGCGGGAUGCCAGGCUGGGGGAACCUGCACCCCCAGACCGGGACUCUCCUCUGGGCCCGGGUUCCCCACGCAGAGGAAAGUUGCCGCCCCGUCCCCCGGGGGAGAUGCUGGGCUGCAGCCUGGACAGCCUUCUCGGCGGCGGCGGCGGCGGCGGCGGCAGCGGCGGGCAGGAGGGGAGCCCCGGCUGGCUGCUGGCUGGCUCCCGCGCGCCCUUUCUGCUCCUUCCUCUCUGGCUCUUCCUUCCCCGGGGUCCUCGCCUUCCCGGAGUGUUGGAGCGAGACGGAGACCUCGGCCUUUGCCGGCGGAAGCGUCGCAGCCCUCAGUCAAGGCAGACAUCACUCAAGAGCACCGAGAACAUGGUUCUUCUCAGCAGAGUGCUCUCGACAGCCAGCCAGUACUAAUCUAUCCAGGUUUGCCAUGCUGGCGAAGCUGUUGCGUGGAAAACAAAUCCUCGAGGUGCAUCUGAGAGAAUCAAGGCCCAAGAAGGUGAACUUGCCCAAGACGUGGCAGGUGGUGUGGAUGUCCCCAGGGCCAGCUGCACAGGAGCCAUCAAUGAAUAAGCAAGAAGACCAACCUCACUGGAGCAAAAUUUGGGGGUGCACACCAAAGGACAGGUCAGUCCUGGGGAGGGGGUUGGGGGAGAGCUGUAUUUGUAGAGGCAGAGGGUGGGGUUCAAACCUCAGCUGCCCCACUGAUAGCUGUGUGACCUUGCGGGAGGUGCUUUACCUCUCUGUGUCAUAG